rnacentral:rRNA from 1 species
UACGAGGGGGGCGAGCGUUGUUCGGAAUUAUUGGGCGUAAAGAGCUCGUAGGCGGUCUGUCGCGUCGAUCGUGAAAACUUGGGGCUUAACCCUGAGCUUGCGGUCGAUACGGGCAUGACUGGAGUUCGGCAGGGGAGACUGGAAUUCCUGGUGUAGCGGUGAAAUGCGCAGAUAUCAGGAGGAACACCGGUGGCGAAGGCGGGUCUCUGGGCCGAUACUGACGCUGAGGAGCGAAAGCGUGGGGAGCGAACAGG